rnacentral:tRNA from 1 species
GAUGUAGCCAAGUGGAUCAAGGCAGUGGAUUGUGAAUCCACCAUGCGCGGGUUCAAUUCCCGCACCCAUUA